GGCUCAGGAUGAACGCUGGCGGCGUGCUUAACACAUGCAAGUCGAACGAAGCACUUUAUUAUGAUUUCUUCGGAAUGACGAUUUAGUGACUGAGUGGCGGACGGGUGAGUAACGCGUGGGUAACCUGCCUUAUACAGGGGGAUAACAGUUAGAAAUGACUGCUAAUACCGCAUAAGCGCACAGGAUUGCAUGAUCUAGUGUGAAAAACUCCGGUGGUAUAAGAUGGACCCGCGUCUGAUUAGCUGGUUGGUGAGGUAACGGCCCACCAAGGCGACGAUCAGUAGCCGACCUGAGAGGGUGACCGGCCACAUUGGGACUGAGACACGGCCCAAACUCCUACGGGAGGCAGCAGUGGGGAAUAUUGCACAAUGGGGGAAACCCUGAUGCAGCGACGCCGCGUGAGCGAAGAAGUAUUUCGGUAUGUAAAGCUCUAUCAGCAGGGAAGAAAAAAUGACGGUACCUGACUAAGAAGCCCCGGCUAACUACGUG
rnacentral:rRNA from 1 species